rnacentral:rRNA from 1 species
AUGUCGGCGCCGGAGGAGGGCGACGCCGCCGCCGCCGCCGCCCCGGGAUCGUCGGCGCCGCCCGCGCCCGCGCCCGCGCCGCCGCCGAUGCCGGAGCCCGGCGCAAUGGGGCCCGAGGAGGCCGCCGCCAGGAAGCGCUACGAGGCGCUGAUGCAGGUGCGGGCCAAGGCGCUCAAGGGGAAGGGCGCCUGGUACUGGGGCCACCUCGAGCCCGUCCUCGUCCCGCCGCCGGCCUCCGGGGCGCCCCCCAAGGCCGCCCGCCUCCGAUGCGCGCUCUGCGCCGCCACCUUCUCCGCCUCCAACCCCUCACGCACCGCCACCGAGCACCUCAAGCGCGGCGCCUGCCCUAAUUUCGCGGCGGCGCAGGGCGCCCCGCCGCCGCCGCCGCCCCCGCCCCCGCCGCAGAAUCAGCAUCAGCAGUUGCAGCUCGUCGCCGUCUCCUCCCCCGCCUCCUCGAUCGUGCCCAUCUCCUCCAUCCCCCCGUCGUCCUCGUCCUCCUCGCAGCGCCGCCACUCCACCGGCGGCGGCGGCCGGAAGCGGCACGCGCUCGCCGCGGCGUACGCGUCCGUCGAGGCGGCCUCGCACCAGCACCACCUCAUGGUCGCCGACCCGGCCGGGUACUCCCCGACGCCGCCCACCCCGCCGGGGAUGCCCGCGCCCAGGCAGCUGCUCUCCGGCGGCCGGGGCGACCUCGCCCCGCUCGCCAUGCUGGAGGACAGCGUCAAGCGCCUCAAGUCGCCCUCGGCGUCGCCGGGCGCGAUGCUUCCGCGGCCGCAGGCCGAGGCCGCGCUCGCGCUGCUCGCCGACUGGUUCCUCGAGUCGUCCGGCAGCGCCUCCCUCUCCGCGGUCGAGCACCCCAAGCUGAAGAACUUCCUGCGCCAGGUCGGGCUCCCGGAGAUAUCGCGAGCCGACCUCGCCGGCGCGCGCCUGGACGCGCGCUUCGCCGAGGCCCGCGCCGACGCCGCCGCGCGCUUCCGCGAGGCGCGCUUCUUCCAGCUCGCGGCCGACGGCUUGCGGGAGCAGGUGAUCACCCUCUCCGUCAACCUCCCCAACGACACGUCGGUGUUCCACCGCGCCGUGCCCAUGCCCGCGCCGGCGUCGGCGUCCCCUGACUACGCCCAGGAGCUGCUGCUGGACGCGGCAUCGUCCGUCUCCGCCUCCUCCGGCGACAUUCGGCAUUGCGCCGGCAUCGUCGCCGACCGCUUCGGCUCCAAGACUCUGCGUGAUCUCGAGACCAAGCACCAUUGGAUGGUGAACCUUACCUGCCAAGUCCAUGGCCUCUCCCGCUUGGUAAGCGACAUGGCGCGCGAGCUCCCACUCUUCAACAACGCUGCGUCAAAUUGCGCCAAGAUCGCCAGCUACUUCAACACCACGCCCUCCGUGCGCGCGCUGCUGCACAAGCACCAAGUCCAGGAGCACGGGCACGCCUUCCUCCUCCCCAUUGCCGCUCCGCCGUAUAAUGGCGGGGAAUUUGCCGCCGCGUUCGUGAUGCUCGAGAGCAUCCUGACCUCGGCGCGGCCGCUCCAGCUCGCCGUGCUCGAGGAGUCCUACAAGGUGGUCUGCAUCGACGACCCUGCCGCGAGGGAGAUCGCGGCCAUGGUGCAGAAUGUGGCGUUCUGGACCGAGGUCGAGGCGACGCAUUCGGUCGUGAAGCUGAUCAUGGACUUGGUGAAGGAGAUGGAGACCGAGAGGCCCCUGGUGGGGCAAUGCCUGCCUCUCUGGGAGGACCUGCGCGGCAAGGUCAGAGGCUGGUGCCGGAAAUUCAGCAUAGAAGAGGCGACUGCCAUGAAUGUGGUGGAGAGGAGGUUCAGGAAGAACUACCACCCGGCGUGGUCAGCGGCAUUCAUACUGGACCCAUUGUAUCUGAUCAAGGACGCCGGCAGGAGGUACCUUCCACCGUUCAACUACUUGACACCAGAGCAGGAGAAGGACGUGGACAGGCUGAUCACAAGACUGGUGUCGCCGGAGGAGGCGCACCUCGCAGUGAUGGAGCUGAUGAAAUGGCGGUCCGAGGGGCUCGACCCAUUGUACGCGCAGGCGGUGCAAGUCCGGCAGCCAGACCCAUCGACGGGGAAGAUGAAGAUAGCCAACAAGCAGAGCAGCCGGCUUGUGUGGGAGACAUGCCUCAGCGAGUUCAAGUCGCUUGGCAAAGUGGCGGUCAGGCUCAUCUUCCUCCAUGCAACCGCCAAGGGGUUCAAAUGCACGCCGUCGAUGACGCGGUGGCUCACCGCGCCAGGCAGCUCAGCCGGCAGCAUUGGCCGGGCGCACCGGCUGGUGUUCAUCGCGGCGAACUCGAAGCUGGAGAGGAGGGAUUUCUCAAACGACGACGACAAGGACGUGGAGCUGCUGACGGAAGGAGACGACGACAUGCUAACAGAGACUGGCAAUGUGGAUCCCUCCUCCUCCUCAGUGUAG